GCCAGGACCUGGGUCCCCAAACCUGCAGGUGCUCAGUCAGGUCCCUCACGUGCUACGGCACAGUGUGACCUGUGGCCUGUGCAGCCCUGUGUCCACUCUGAGUCGUCCCCGGGUGGCUGGUGACAGCAGGGAAGCACUGUGUGCCCUGUGACCAUGCUGUGCUGUUCAGGGGGGACAAGACCCCCGGGCCUCCUCCCCAGAGGCCGCUCCUCUCAGGGGAAUCUUAGAAAGACACGCAGGCCACCGAGGCCGCCUGAGUCACCGAGGCCACCUGAGCUGCCUGAGGCCACUGAGGCCACCUGAGGCCACCAAGGGAAGCUCAAUGAUGUGACGUCACCAACAGAGUGAAGCCACAAGGUCACCUUCAGAGCCUUCUAGAGGCAGCAACCCUUUGGCUCCGUGUUUCUGUCCGGCUGAGGACAGGUCAGCGUGGACCCCGGUGGCACAUUAGUGCCAUGCCUGGGUGGCCAAGGACUGGGCGUGUCCUGCCUCCUGGAAGGGCCCAGCAGGCAGGUCCCGGGGCGCAGGGCCCUGGGUGGCUGCUGGAAGGAGGGCUGCACGUCCUGGGCCUGGCCGGUCUCUGGUCAGAUCCUGGAGGCGUGAGG
rnacentral:lncRNA from 1 species